UGGAAUUGCAAUGUGCAAAGCCCUUGGGGCAGGAAGGAGAGAAACACAAGUCUCCCCAAACGCCAAGCUGAUUUUACUGCUAAGAAUAGCCUUUGUCUCUGGGAGGAAAGGCAGAAGACCUGGUUCUCUCUUCUCCCAGCUGAAGGUUGAUUUUAAAGGGGCAGCACCCAGUCAUAGAGAGACAGCGUUUGUUCCAAUCACUUUGGAAAAACAGUUCCAGAAUCGUCCCCAGCCCCGGCUGGCACAGCAGCAUCCUCAUUUGUAUGCUGCAGCUUUGUCUAGCAGAAGACAUUCUGCAGCGCCAUUCCUGACUGCUCUCCACCGCGGUAAGGAGCUAUGCAGAGCUGAUCGCACAGGCUCUCCUGCACAGUUUGUUUUUCUUGCUGUCUGUCUCGCCAUGAACUCGCAAAGUCGCCACUGAAAGCUAGCGAUCUUUGGCUGCCCUUGCAGUCGGGGCCGAGCCAGGCUGUGCCAGCCCAGCCCUUCCUAGAGCAUCCCACCCUUUUCUGGUACAGAUUUAUUUCACACACAAUGUGCCUACUUUACCCAGAGUGGAGCAAGA
rnacentral:lncRNA from 1 species